rnacentral:rRNA from 2 species
GGAUGCAAUCAUACCAGCACUAAAGCACCGGAUCCCAUCAGAACUCUGAAGUUAAGCGUGUUUGGGGGAGAGUAGUACUAGGAUGGGUGACCUCCUGUAACAUCCCAAUUUUUAGGAUGUU